rnacentral:sRNA from 1 species
UUGCGUGCGCCGGACAAUCGCCUUAACAGCACUAUUUUUACCCUGCUCUUGGACGGAUGCCAUCAGCUGGGCCCGCUCGCCAGUACGUUACAACAUUUGUUCAAACACCUAUCCUAACUAAAUAUCAAUUGAUCCGAUCCCAUAACCUAGACCGCGAAACAUCAAUGAAAUCGGCCCGAUUCAAUGAGUUACAAAUAAACGCCAGGGUCCGUGGGUGAGAUCGUUUCCAGUCGUCUUUAGAAUGGCGCCGUGAGCGUCUCCCGCGUCGAUCAUGGCGCAACGGUGGACGCUUGCUCUAAUUAUAAUCUGCCUACCGAUCCUAGCAACAUUGAUAACCGCAUUCCGCGUGCGCGAUUUACCUAAAACCACCCAUGAUAGUGUUAAAAAACCGCAAAAAUGUGACGAUUGUGAAGUGAAGGUCGGUCAAAAGUUUCAAAGUGUUAAAAUUGAUAGUGAAAAGCAUUCGUUUGUGGAUUUAAAGAGCGUUCACGAUAAAGAACCGGUAAUAAGUAAGAAACCUGAAAUACCAUUGUCCUAUAAGUAUGAAUGCCAGAAGUGAUGAAAGAAAAGGCGAUGAUCAUUUGGAUUUUUCGAAAAGCAGAACUGGUUUUCGACAAGAAAUCUCAUCACCCAGCAAGGUAGAUAAAAUAUCUAAUAUAAAAUACGAAGCUAAAAAACCUUGGGCUUCUCAUGAUGAUUAUGACAGUGAGUUUGAUGUUAAGAGAGAUGAUGAUGAAGAUGUUGAUUAUGAAGCGGCCGAUUACGAAGACGAUGAUAUUCAAAUUCCAGAGGUUUUACGCAAAGCUAAAAAAGAAUUUAAAAAGAAGGACAGUUUAGAUUUGAUAUCGUCUACCGAAAGUUCAGAAUUAAAGAAGAAACAUAUUUUAGAUUUGGAGUCGUCUUCUGAGAUUUCGGAUAUUAAAAAGAAAAUUACCCCAGACUCAUCUUCUGAAAGUUUAGAAAUAAAAAAGCCCGCACAAAAAGCUACAAUGAAAAACCGAAAAGAAGAAGACACAAUUAAAACGGUUAAAGUUGAUAGUAUAAGUAAAUCAGAAGCUUCAGAACCAAAGCAAACGACAGGUGAAGAUAAAACAAAGAAAGAUGAAAUAAUUAAGAAAAGUUCCUUCAAAAUAGAACUCGACGAUGAAGAUGACGAUGACGAUGAUGACGACGACGACGACGAAGAUGAUGAUAAACCUACGAUUAAAAUAGACCAGGAAAAGAAAAAAAUGGAUACAAAAGCUAAAAAGUCUAAUAUCAAAGCCGAAAGUAAAACCAAGCCCGGAUUAAGUGCAUUAGAAACAAAAUCAACGAUAUGCUCAAAGCUAUUCCUUAUUUUAAUGAUGAUGGUGAUGAUGAUGAUGAUGACGACGACGACGAAGACUCAGAUGAAGAUGACGAUGAUGAUGAACAUGAUGAAAUUGUUAUGAAGAAAGACAAAAGUAUUGAACGCCAAUCAAAAAUGCCUACGAAAAUUGUUAAAGAAGAGUUCAAAAUUAAAGACAGUUCUAAAGAAAUAAAGACUAAGGAACCAUUAACAUCAAAACAAAAGAAAAUAGAUAGCAAAGAACAAGGAAGUUCUGAGGAGGAUAAAAGUAAACUAAAUCUUAAAAACAAAGGUUUAAAAUCAAGUCCGAUGGAAUCUAAAGUAAAAAUUAAUAUUGAAGCAUCAUCAAAAGAGAUGAAAAAGAUUUUUAAGGACUAUGAUGAUUACGAAGAUGACGAUGAUGAUGAUGAAGAUGAAACACCCAAGCCUACCCCACCACCUAAAGUACUUGAAUUAAAACCGAUUGGAAGACGAGAAAAGAAAGACUCCAAAUCUGCAGAGAAAAAAACUGAAGCAAAGUCUAAAGCAACUAAAGCAGAUGAGGUGAAAAAAUUAAAAGUUGACGAGACAACAGAGACAGAGAAAGUGAAACCUAUAAAGGUAGAGAAGAAGCAUUUAAAAGCUUCUGAUGAAACACCACAAAAGAAAGAAACCCUAAAGUUAACAGAAAAAGAUAGCCCUAAAGGAAAACAAAUUUACGAGAAAGAUAAAUUAGAAACUAAAAAAGACGAUAAAAAAGAUACUUCACAGUCAAAGGUUAAAGAAGAGAAAAUUCGAGACACAUUAAAAACAACAGAGUCUAAAAAAACAAAGAUUGAAUUGGACAGCAAACGCGAAAGAAAAGAUUACGGACAAUGGGAUAAAACGUCAAAAGAAAAGCUCUUUGAUAUCCAGGAAGCGUUCACGUCUAGUGAAAGUCAUUUAAAACCCGUUACGGAUGCUUUGCACAGACGUAACUUACUCAAAAGUGAAUUUGAAGACUUUUAUGCAUUCUUACCAACUUUUGCACCGAAUUUUUCACGCAUCCAUAACCCGGAAUGCAGGCGUCACGGGCAGAUUGUGUUAAGACAGCUGCGAGGAACGAAAUUGUGGGCUUUGAAUAUGCUCGAUGCCACAGCUAAGGUCCCCUCGGGAUUACUGCAAGGUAAUGGGAUCCAGCUUGGUGACUUCGACCAGUGCCUAGGCAGUCGCGCUCGAGUGCAGUUAGACACUGGCAGUGUGGUUAAGGUGCAGGGAAGUACUGCUUGGCUCGAAUCGACGUGAAAGCCGAACAUCCAGAGCUGGAGAUCCCCGUGCAUUUGGCGCAAGCCAAGAACCUGAUCAGAAGCAGGAUUGAUGAUCCAGGUCACUUCGUGCCGCGUUUUUCGACGCUGAGCUGGGGGGUGUGCGUGCCCUUAGCCUGUACCCAUGAGGACGUCGAGUUCGUCCUCAGGGACGCUAUCAGGCAUUACCAGAAGACCAGCGGAGUGGCUGUUCGGAUCAAGGUUGAUGAGGACGACUGCCAUGUCGAGAAACGAGCUGAUUGGUGGAAGGAUUGGAUGGAAACUCCGACUAUUGUGACGUUGUCAUUCUACGGUAUAGUUGUUCUGCUGGUUGUAGUGGCGACUGCUCAAGAUUUUGUUGCUAGAAGAAACUCAGAAGAAACCCAGAAUGGGACUGACUCCGACAAUGCUGAAUGUGAUCAGAAAGAAAAACGAGAAAGAUUCACAGAAAACAUCUGACAGCAUCAUCAGCCCAUUCUCCCUCUACCGCACCAUAAACAAACUGAUCGCUCCUGGAACAUCAGACGAGAUCGCCUGCAUCCACGGAGUGAGGGCUAUCUGCACCCUGGCUCUACUGGUCGCUCAUAAGUUCCUACCAGUCGCCGCGAUUCCGUAUACCAAUCGAGUUUAUAUCACCGAGCUCGUCAGCUCUCCCGUAUGGUCCUGGUGUCGGGCAGGAUGGGUGUUCACUGACUGCUUCCUUCUCCUGAGCGGCACGUUGACAGCCCACCGGAUUUGCAAGGACAGCGACACCAUAGCACCCAAGCGACUUCUAUCCAGAUAUUUGAGAUUAACUCCGGCGUUGCUAGCGGUGGUAUUGUUCUACGCGUACAUUUGGGACAACAUAUCCAUAGGGCCGAUGUGGGGCAGUCUGGUCACCAAGAAUGCCGAGGUCUGCCAGGAAGGAUGGUGGUGGAACAUGCUCUACGUCCAGAACUACUUCGGGCUUGAGGAAAUGUGCGCACCCCAAACUCAUCAACUCGCUUUGGACAUGCAGCUGAGCAUUCUUGGAGGUAUGAUAGUCUGGGCAGCACAGCAGGAAGGGUUCUUCAAACUGGUCAUACCUGGACUACAUCUGAUCGCUGCCUACUCCAGAUAUACUACGGUGCGGGACCAUCGCCUUACAUUGCUAGCUUACCAUGGAGUUAGCGUGAGCCAGCUGUACAGAACUGCCCGACUGAGCUACACAUCGACCCUGCACCGAUCCACUCCAUACUUAGUGGGAAUUAGCCUGGGGUUAGCGCUGACGAAGCCCGCAAAACACGGCAAAUUAUUCCUUACAUUCGGCUGGAUUUUAAGCGGAAUCCUUUGGAGCUUGGUGUGGUGGGCUGGAAUGGACUCAGGGUCCAUACAGUAUCGUUAUACCACGUCCUUUGCUGCACAGUACGCGACCUUGGCACCUAUAGCCGCGCCACGUCUAUUGCUUGGCUCAUCUACACCGUCAAUAAUGGAACUUGUGGUAAUUAA